rnacentral:rRNA from 1 species
GAUGAACGCUAGCGGCAGGCUUAACACAUGCAAGUCGAGGGGUAUAGGAAGCUUGCUUCCUAGAGACCGGCGCACGGGUGCGUAACGCGUAUGCAAUCUACCUUUUGCAGAGGGAUAGCCCAGAGAAAUUUGGAUUAAUACCUCAUAGUAUGCAGAGUUGGCAUCAACAUUGCAUUAAAGUCACAACGGUAAAAGAUGAGCAUGCGUCCCAUUAGCUAGUUGGUAAGGUAACGGCUUACCAAGGCAACGAUGGGUAGGGGUCCUGAGAGGGAGAGCCCCCACACUGGUACUGAGACACGGACCAGACUCCUACGGGAGGCAGCAGUGAGGAAUAUUGGACAAUGGGCGCAAGCCUGAUCCAGCCAUGCCGCGUGCAGGAUGACGGUCCUAUGGAUUGUAAACUGCUUUUGUACGAGAAGAAACACUCCUACGUGUAGGAGCUUGACGGUAUCGUAAGAAUAAGGAUCGGCUAACUCCGUGCCAGCCGCCGCGGUAAAAC